AACCCUUGCCUUAGUUGCCAGCAGUUCGGCUGGGCACUCUAAGGAGACUGCCGGUGACAAACCGGAGGAAGGUGGGGAUGACGUCAAGUCCUCAUGGCCUUUAUGACCAGGGCUACACACGUACUACAAUGGCCGAUACAAAGGGCAGCGACACUGCGAGGUGAAGCCAAUCCCGUAAAAUCGGUCUCAGUCCGGAUUGGAGUCUGCAACUCGACUCCAUGAAGUUGGAAUCGCUAGUAAUCGUGGAUCAGCAUGCCACGGUGAAUACGUUCCCGGGCCUU
rnacentral:rRNA from 1 species